UACGGGGGGGACAAGCGUUGUUCGGAUUUAUUGGGCGUAAAGGGCGUGUAGGCGGGCGCACAAGUCGGAUGUGAAAACCACGGGCUUAACCCGUGGCCUGCAUUCGAUACUGUGUGUCUUGAGUAUCGGAGAGGAGUGUGGAAUUCCAGGUGUAGCGGUGAAAUGCGUAGAUAUCUGGAAGAACACCGAUGGCGAAGGCAGCACUCUGGACGAAUACUGACGCUGAAACGCGAAGGCUUGGGGAGCAAACAGG
rnacentral:rRNA from 1 species